rnacentral:rRNA from 1 species
AUAACUUCGGGAAACCGGAGCUAAUACCGGAUAAUAUUUUGAACCGCAUGGUUCAAAAGUGAAAGACGGUCUUGCUGUCACUUAUAGAUGGAUCCGCGCUGCAUUAGCUAGUUGGUAAGGUAACGGCUUACCAAGGCAACGAUGCAUAGCCGACCUGAGAGGGUGAUCGGCCACACUGGAACUGAGACACGGUCCAGACUCCUACGGGAGGCAGCAGUAGGGAAUCUUCCGCAAUGGGCGAAAGCCUGACGGAGCAACGCCGCGUGAGUGAUGAAGGUCUUCGGAUCGUAAAACUCUGUUAUUAGGGAAGAACAUAUGUGUAAGUAACUGUGCACAUCUUGACGGUACCUAAUCAGAAAGCCACGGCUAACUACGUGCCAGCAGCCGCGGUAAUACGUAGGUGGCAAGCGUUAUCCGGAAUUAUUGGGCGUAAAGCGCGCGUAGGCGGUUUUUUAAGUCUGAUGUGAAAGCCCACGGCUCAACCGUGGAGGGUCAUUGGAAACUGGAAAACUUGAGUGCAGAAGAGGAAAGUGGAAUUCCAUGUGUAGCGGUGAAAUGCGCAGAGAUAUGGAGGAACACCAGUGGCGAAGGCGACUUUCUGGUCUGUAACUGACGCUGAUGUGCGAAAGCGUGGGGAUCAAACAGGAUUAGAUACCCUGGUAGUCCACGCCGUAAACGAUGAGUGCUAAGUGUUAGGGGGUUUCCGCCCCUUAGUGCUGCAGCUAACGCAUUAAGCACUCCGCCUGGGGAGUACGACCGCAAGGUUGAAACUCAAAGGAAUUGACGGGGACCCGCACAAGCGGUGGAGCAUGUGGUUUAAUUCGAAGCAACGCGAAGAACCUUACCAAAUCUUGACAUCCUUUGACAACUCUAGAGAUAGAGCCUUCCCCUUCGGGGGACAAAGUGACAGGUGGUGCAUGGUUGUCGUCAGCUCGUGUCGUGAGAUGUUGGGUUAAGUCCCGCAACGAGCGCAACCCUUAAGCUUAGUUGCCAUCAUUAAGUUGGGCACUCUAAGUUGACUGCCGGUGACAAACCGGAGGAAGGUGGGGAUGACGUCAAAUCAUCAUGCCCCUUAUGAUUUGGGCUACACACGUGCUACAAUGGACAAUACAAAGGGCAGCGAAACCGCGAGGUCAAGCAAAUCCCAUAAAGUUGUUCUCAGUUCGGAUUGUAGUCUGCAACUCGACUACAUGAAGCUGGAAUCGCUAGUAAUCGUAGAUCAGCAUGCUACGGUGAAUACGUUCCCGGGUCUUGUACACACCGCCCGUCACACCACGAGAGUUUGUAACACCCGAAGCCGGUGGAGUAACCUUUUAGGAGCUAGCCGUCGAAGGUGGGACAAAUGAUUGGGGUGAAGUCGUAACAAGGUAGCCGUAUCGGAAGGUGCGGCUG